GGCCUUAUGGUCUAGUAGCAUGAUUCCUCUUUUGGGUUUGCAUAACUGCUUACAUGAAUAGAGGAGGUCCUGGGUUCAACUCCCAGUGAGGCCC
rnacentral:tRNA from 1 species